AAUGAACGCUGGCGGUAGGCCUAACACAUGCAAGUCGAACGCGUGGCGGACGGGAGAGGAAUACAUCGGAAUCUACUCUGUCGUGGGGGAUAAAGUAGGGACACUUACGAAAAUAGCGCAAACGCUUAAAUGCGCCGCUGUCGGAUUAGAUAGUUGGAGGAGUAAAGGCCCACAAAGUCGACAAUCCGGAGCUGGUCUGAGAGGAUGAUCAGCCCAACGUGAACUGAGACACGGCCCAGACUCCUACGGGAGGCAGCAGUGGGGAAUAGUGGACAAUGGGAGCAAGCCUGAUCCAGCCAUACCGCGUGGGUGAAGAAGGCCUUCGGGUUUUAAAGCCCUUUUGUUGGGGAAGCGUUACCCAAAGAAUAAGCACCGGCUAACGUCGUGCCAGCAGCCGCGGUAAUUC
rnacentral:rRNA from 1 species